rnacentral:rRNA from 1 species
AUUGAACGCUGGCGGCAUGGCUAAAACAUGCGAGUCGAACGUGCCCGCAAGGGCAAGUGGCGAAAGGGUCAGUAACGCGAUCGAACGUACCCCGAGGUGGGGAAUAGGGCGGGGAAACUCGCCAUAAUGCCCCAUGAUCUCUCCGGAGCAAAGGUUUACCGCCUUGGGAUCGGCGAUCGUCCUAUCAGGUAGUUGGCGGGGUAAAAGCCCACCAAGCCGAAGACGGGUAGCAGGUGUGAGAGCACGACCUGCGACAUCGGAACUGAGACACUGUCCGGACUCCUACGGGAGGCUGCAGUAACGAAUCUUCCGCAAUGGGCGAAAGCCUGACGGAGCAAUGCCGCGUGCGGGAUGAAGCGUCUACGACGUGU